UACGUAGGUGGCAAGCGUUGUCCGGAGUUAUUGGGCGUAAAGCGCGCGCAGGCGGUGCGGUAAGUCUCUGGUGAAAGCGCUCGGCUUAACUGGGCGAGGGCCGGGGAGACUGCCACGCUGGAGGGGAGCAGAGGCGAGUGGAAUUCCGGGUGUAGUGGUGAAAUGCGUAGAGAUCCGGAGGAACACCAGUGGCGAAGGCGACUUACUGGACACAUAUUGACGCUGAGGUGCGAAAGCGUGGGGAGCAAACAGG
rnacentral:rRNA from 1 species